UACGGAGGAUGCGAGCGUUAUCCGGAUUUAUUGGGUUUAAAGGGUGCGUAGGUUGUUCGGUAAGUCAGCGGUGAAAUCUGAACGCUUAACGUUCAGCCUGCCGUUGAAACUGCCGGGCUUGAGUUCAGCGGCGGCAGGCGGAAUUCGUGGUGUAGCGGUGAAGUGCAUAGAUAUCACGAGGAACUCCGAUUGCGAAGGCAGUUUGCCAUACUGCGACUGACACUGAAGCACGAAGGUGUGGGUAUCAAACAGG
rnacentral:rRNA from 1 species